UCCAGAGGUCUCAAUCGUUGUUCGGAUUCAUUGGGCGUAAAGGGUGCGUAGGUGGUUGGGUAAGUCAAAUGUGAAAUCCCGGAGCUCAACUCCGGAACUGCAUUCGAUACUGCCCGGCUCGAGGAUUGGAGAGGAGACUGGAAUUCACGGUGUAGCAGUGAAAUGCGUAGAGAUCGUGAGGAACACCCGUGGCGAAGGCGGGUCUCUGGACAAUUCCUGACACUGAGGCACGAAGGCCAGGGGAGAAAACGGG
rnacentral:rRNA from 1 species